GUGUCAGCAGCCGCGGUAAUACGAAGGGUCCAAGCGUUGUUCGGAAUCAUUGGGCGUAAAGCGCGCGCAGGCGGAUCAGCAAGUCAGAUGUGAAAUCUCGAAGCUCAACUUCGAAACUGCGUCUGAAACUGCUAGUCUAGAGUGUCGGAGGGGGUAGGGGAAUUUCACGUGUAGGGGUAAAAUCCGUAGAGAUGUGAAGGAACACCGGGGGCGAAGGCGCCUACCUGGACGACUACUGACGCUGAGGCGCGAAAGCGUGGGGAGCAAACAGGAUUAGAUACCCUCGUAGUCC
rnacentral:rRNA from 1 species